rnacentral:rRNA from 1 species
GGGUUGUGAGGUUAAGCGACUAAGCGUACACGGUGGAUGCCCUGGCAGUCAGAGGCGAUGAAGGACGUGCUAAUCUGCGAUAAGCGUCGGUAAGGUGAUAUGAACCGUUAUAACCGGCGAUUUCCGAAUGGGGAAACCCAGUGUGUUUCGACACACUAUCAUUAACUGAAUCCAUAGGUUAAUGAGGCGAACCGGGGGAACUGAAACAUCUAAGUACCCCGAGGAAAAGAAAUCAACCGAGAUUCCCCCAGUAGCGGCGAGCGAACGGGGAGCAGCCCAGAGCCUGAAUCAGURUGUGUGUUAGUGGAAGCGUCUGGAAAGGCGCGCGAUACAGGGUGACAGCCCCGUACACAAAAAUGCACAUGCUGUGAGCUCGAUGAGUAGGGCGGGACACGUGGUAUCCUGUCUGAAUAUGGGGGGACCAUCCUCCAAGGCUAAAUACUCCUGACUGACCGAUAGUGAACCAGUACCGUGAGGGAAAGGCGAAAAGAACCCCGGCGAGGGGAGUGAAAAAGAACCUGAAACCGUGUACGUACAAGCAGUGGGAGCACGCUUAGGCGUGUGACUGCGUACCUUUUGUAUAAUGGGUCAGCGACUUAUAUUCUGUAGCAAGGUUAACCGAAUAGGGGAGCCGAAGGGAAACCGAGUCUUAACUGGGCGUUAAGUUGCAGGGUAUAGACCCGAAACCCGGUGAUCUAGCCAUGGGCAGGUUGAAGGUUGGGUAACACUAACUGGAGGACCGAACCGACUAAUGUUGAAAAAUUAGCGGAUGACUUGUGGCUGGGGGUGAAAGGCCAAUCAAACCGGGAGAUAGCUGGUUCUCCCCGAAAGCUAUUUAGGUAGCGCCUCGUGAAUUCAUCUCCGGGGGUAGAGCACUGUUUCGGCAAGGGGGUCAUCCCGACUUACCAACCCGAUGCAAACUGCGAAUACCGGAGAAUGUUAUCACGGGAGACACACGGCGGGUGCUAACGUCCGUCGUGAAGAGGGAAACAACCCAGACCGCCAGCUAAGGUCCCAAAGUCAUGGUUAAGUGGGAAACGAUGUGGGAAGGCCCAGACAGCCAGGAUGUUGGCUUAGAAGCAGCCAUCAUUUAAAGAAAGCGUAAUAGCUCACUGGUCGAGUCGGCCUGCGCGGAAGAUGUAACGGGGCUAAACCAUGCACCGAAGCUGCGGCAGCGACGCUUAUGCGUUGUUGGGUAGGGGAGCGUUCUGUAAGCCUGUGAAGGUGUGCUGUGAGGCAUGCUGGAGGUAUCAGAAGUGCGAAUGCUGACAUAAGUAACGAUAAAGCGGGUGAAAAGCCCGCUCGCCGGAAGACCAAGGGUUCCUGUCCAACGUUAAUCGGGGCAGGGUGAGUCGACCCCUAAGGCGAGGCCGAAAGGCGUAGUCGAUGGGAAACAGGUUAAUAUUCCUGUACUUGGUGUUACUGCGAAGGGGGGACGGAGAAGGCUAUGUUGRCCGGGCGACGGUUGUCCCGGUUUAAGCGUGUAGGCUGGUUUUCCAGGCAAAUCCGGAAAAUCAAGGCUGAGGCGUGAUGACGAGGCACUACGGUGCUGAAGCAACAAAUGCCCUGCUUCCAGGAAAAGCCUCUAAGCAUCAGGUAACAUCAAAUCGUACCCCAAACCGACACAGGUGGUCAGGUAGAGAAUACCAAGGCGCUUGAGAGAACUCGGGUGAAGGAACUAGGCAAAAUGGUGCCGUAACUUCGGGAGAAGGCACGCUGAUAUGUAGGUGAAGUCCCUCGCGGAUGGAGCUGAAAUCAGUCGAAGAUACCAGCUGGCUGCAACUGUUUAUUAAAAACACAGCACUGUGCAAACACGAAAGUGGACGUAUACGGUGUGACGCCUGCCCGGUGCCGGAAGGUUAAUUGAUGGGGUUAGCGGUAACGCGAAGCUCUUGAUCGAAGCCCCGGUAAACGGCGGCCGUAACUAUAACGGUCCUAAGGUAGCGAAAUUCCUUGUCGGGUAAGUUCCGACCUGCACGAAUGGCGUAAUGAUGGCCAGGCUGUCUCCACCCGAGACUCAGUGAAAUUGAACUCGCUGUGAAGAUGCAGUGUACCCGCGGCAAGACGGAAAGACCCCGUGAACCUUUACUAUAGCUUGACACUGAACAUUGAGCCUUGAUGUGUAGGAUAGGUGGGAGGCUUWGAAGUGUGGACGCCAGUCUGCAUGGAGCCGACCUUGAAAUACCACCCUUUAAUGUUUGAUGUUCUAACGUUGACCCGUAAUCCGGGUUGCGGACAGUGUCUGGUGGGUAGUUUGACUGGGGCGGUCUCCUCCUAAAGAGUAACGGAGGAGCACGAAGGUUGGCUAAUCCUGGUCGGACAUCAGGAGGUUAGUGCAAUGGCAUAAGCCAGCUUGACUGCGAGCGUGACGGCGCGAGCAGGUGCGAAAGCAGGUCAUAGUGAUCCGGUGGUUCUGAAUGGAAGGGCCAUCGCUCAACGGAUAAAAGGUACUCCGGGGAUAACAGGCUGAUACCGCCCAAGAGUUCAUAUCGACGGCGGUGUUUGGCACCUCGAUGUCGGCUCAUCACAUCCUGGGGCUGAAGUAGGUCCCAAGGGUAUGGCUGUUCGCCAUUUAAAGUGGUACGCGAGCUGGGUUUAGAACGUCGUGAGACAGUUCGGUCCCUAUCUGCCGUGGGCGCUGGAGAACUGAGGGGGGCUGCUCCUAGUACGAGAGGACCGGAGUGGACGCAUCACUGGUGUUCGGGUUGUCAUGCCAAUGGCACUGCCCGGUAGCUAAAUGCGGAAGAGAUAAGUGCUGAAAGCAUCUAAGCACGAAACUUGCCCCGAGAUGAGUUCUCCCUGACYCYUURAGRGUCCUGAAGGAACGUUGAAGACGACGACGUUGAUAGGCCGGGUGUGUAAGCGCAGCGAUGCGUUGAGCUAACCGGUACUAAUGAACCGUGAGGCUUAACCUUACAACGCCGAAG